rnacentral:rRNA from 1 species
AGUCACUGACAUUAGAUACCCCGGUAGUCCAGGGUGUAAACGCUGCAGACUUGGUGUUGGAAGUCCUUUGGGGGCAUUCAGUGCCGGAGAGAAGUUGUUAAGUCUGCUACUUGGGAAGUACGGUCGCAAGGCUGAAACUUAAAGGAAUUGGCGGGGAGCACCACAACACGUGGAGCCUGCGGUUUAAUUGGAUUCAACGCCGGACAUCUCACCAGAGGCGACAGCUGUAUGAUAGCCAGGUUGAUGACUUUGCUUGACUAGCUG